rnacentral:rRNA from 1 species
UGAGGAAUAUUGGUCAAUGGACGGAAGUCUGAACCAGCCAUGCCGCGUGAAGGAAUAAGGCCCUAUGGGUCGUAAACUUCUUUUUGUGGUGGAGCAAUAAGAUCUACGCGUAGGUCGAUGAGAGUACAUCACGAAUAAGCAUCGGCUAACUCCGUGCCAGCAGCCGCGGUAAUACGGAGGAUGCAAGCGUUAUCCGGAUUUAUUGGGUUUAAAGGGUGCGCAGGCGGCGCGCCAAGUCAGCGGUCAAAGUUCCGGGCUCAACCCGGUGUCGCCGUUGAAACUGGCGUGCUCGAGUGCGUGCGAGGAAGGCGGAAUGCGUUGUGUAGCGGUGAAAUGCAUAGAUAUGACGCAGAACUCCGAUUGCGAAGGCAGCUUUCCAGCGCGCUA